GACGAACGCUGGCGGCGUGCUUAACACAUGCAAGUCGAACGAUGAAGCCGGAGCUUGCUCUGGUGAAUUAGUGGCGAACGGGUGAGUAACACGUGAGUAACCUGCCCUUGACUCUGGGAUAACUGCGGGAAACUGUAGCUAAUACCGGAUACGACCCUCGGAGGCAUCUCCUGGGGGUGGAAAGAAUUUCGGUCAAGGAUGGACUCGCGGCCUAUCAGCUAGUUGGUGAGGUAAAGGCUCACCAAGGCGACGACGAGUAGCCGGCCUGAGAGGGGGACCGGCCACACUGGGACUGAGACACGGCCCAGACUCCUACGGGAGGCAGCAGCGGGGAAGAUUGCACAAUGGGCGCAAGCCUGAUGCAGCAACGCCGCGUGAGGGAUGACGGCCUUCGGGUUGUAAACCUCUUUUAGCAGGGAAGAAGCGAAAGUGACGGUACCUGCAGAAAAAGCACCGGCUAACUACGUGCCAGCCGCCGCCGUAA
rnacentral:rRNA from 1 species